GAACGUGCCCAAUCGUGGGGGAUAACGCAGCGAAAGCUGUGCUAAUACCGCAUACGAUCUACGGAUGAAAGCAGGGGACCGCAAGGCCUUGCGCGAAUGGAGCGGCCGAUGGCAGAUUAGGUAGUUGGUGAGGUAAAGGCUCACCAAGCCUUCGAUCUGUAGCUGGUCUGAGAGGACGACCAGCCACACUGGGACUGAGACACGGCCCAGACUCCUACAGGAGGCAGCAGUGGGGAAUUUUGGACAAUGGGCGCAAGCCUGAUCCAGCCAUGCCGCGUGCAGGAUGAAGGCCUUCGGGUUGUAAACUGCUUUUGUACGGAACGAAACGGCUCUUUCUAAUAAAGAGGGCUAAUGACGGUACCGUAAGAAUAAGCACCGGCUAACUACGUGCCAGCAGCCGCGGCAAUACGUAGGGUGCAAGCGUUAAUCGGAAUUACUGGGCGUAAAGCGUGCGCAGGCGGUGAUGUAAGACAGUUGUGAAAUCCCCGGGCUCAACCUGGGAACUGCAUCUGUGACUGCAUCGCUGGAGUGCGGCAGAGGGGGAUGGAAUUCCGCGUGUAGCAGUGAAAUGCGUAGAUAUGCGGAGGAACACCGAUGGCGAAGGCAAUCCCCUGGGCCUGCACUGACGCUCAUGCACGAAAGCGUGGGGAGCAAACAGGAUUAGAUACCCUGGUAGUCCACGCCCUAAACGAUGUCAACUGGUUGUUGGGUCUUCACUGACUCAGUAACGAAGCUAACGCGUGAAGUUGACCGCCUGGGGAGUACGGCCGCAAGGUUGAAGCUCAAAGGAAUUGACGGGGACCCGCACAAGCGGUGGAUGAUGUGGUUUAAUUCGAUGCAACGCGAAAAACCUUACCCACCUUUGACAUGUACGGAAUUCGCCAGAGAUGGCUUAGUGCUCGAAAGAGAACCGUAACACAGGUGCUGCAUGGCUGUUGUCAGCUCGUGUCGUGAGAUGUUGGGUUAAGUCCCGCAACGAGCGCAACCCUUGUCAUUAGUUGCUACAUUCAGUUUGGCACUCUAGUGAGACUGCCGGUGACAAACCGGAGGAAGGUGGGGAUGACGUCAAGUCCUCAUGGCCCUUAUAGGUGGGGCUACACACGUCAUACAAUGGCUGGUACAAAGGGUUGCCAACCCGCGAGGGGGAGCUAAUCCCAUAAAACCAGUCGUAGUCCGGAUCGCAGUCUGCAACUCGACUGCGUGAAGUCGGAAUCGCUAGUAAUCGUGGAUCAGAAUGUCACGGUGAAUACGUUCCCGGGUCUUGUACACACCGCCCGUCACACCAUGGGAGCGGGUUCUGCCAGAAGUAGUUAGCCUAACCGCAAGGAGGGCGAUUACCACGGCAGGGUUCGUGACUGGGGUGAAGUCGUAACAAGGUA
rnacentral:rRNA from 1 species